UAACCAGAGGACACACACAAGUGAUCACUGUAGCUCCUGCCAUCCUAGGAUGUUAUCAAUUUAGAGAGACAGGAAGCUCUGUUUCCUUUGCAAGCCAGACUGGAAGUGCUCACAGGAAAUGUACACGGGUACCUCCUCCAACCAAAUUUCUAAUCCCAACAGUAGUUCAUUUGCUCAGGCAUGUCUCUGUCUCUUCUUCAACUGUAAGCACCUCUAGAAUACAGUGUCUCCCUAUAUCUUUGCAUAGCCACUCACCAGGUGUUUUUCAAUCCUGGCUGUACAUUCAAAUCACGUGACACUUAGCCUCACCCAGAGACUUUGAUCUAAUUGGUUUGGGGAGAUACCCGGGCAUACGCAACCCUUUAGAGACUCACGAAAACGAGAUGAUUGUUAAUAUGCAGCCAAACUUGAGUCCAACACCAGAGCUUUGGAUAUGAUGAGAACACAAAAUAUGUUUGGCUGAUGUGGUCUGGGAUCCCCACUGCACCCCAGUGUGCAACAUAGUAUUGAAAAACAAAACAAAACAGGAGACCAAGCCUCAACAGUUCAGCUAGAAACAAAUGAAGAAUGGAAUGACUCUGAAAUCCUGGGUGCCGUUCCUCUCAAGUAUUGGCUUCUGGAAGACACAGCAACAGAAUAUCCCCAAACCCGUAUCUGCAUGGCUUGAGCAAAAUGACAAUCUUCCUAAAAAGGCCCACAGUGAGGGACUCAGCCAUCCACAACCACUGGAAGGGAGACUAUUUAUCUGUCUUCAGAAGCUUCCCCAGUCCUCCCAAUUCCCAACUCUGUGUGGGUAAU